UCGUGCCUACGGGGCGCAGCAGUGAGGAAUAUUGGUCAAUGGUCGGGAGACUGAACCAGCCAAGCCGCGUGAGGGAGGAAGGUACAGAGUAUCGUAAACCUCUUUUGUCAGGGAACAAAGACUGGGACGCGUCCCCGGAUGAGUGUACCUGAAGAAAAAGCAUCGGCUAACUCCGUGCCAGCAGCCGCGGUAAUACGGAGGAUGCGAGCGUUAUCCGGAUUUAUUGGGUUUAAAGGGUGCGUAGGCGGGCUUUUAAGUCAGCGGUAAAAAUUCGGGGCUCAACCCCGUCCGGCCGUUGAAACUGG
rnacentral:rRNA from 1 species